UGGAAUAGGGAAAUGGUUAAAAGAUAUAGGACGCAAGGUCUGGUUAUUAUUGUCAGAAUUUCAAGCUAUAUUAUAAUUUAUCUCAUGAAUUAAUAUGUAAGAAGUGUUUCCCAUUUCCUCCCGAUACCCGAGCUAUGUACUCACAGGUGCGGGUAUUAUAAGUCACAAGUGGUGUCAACUGUGAGGGGAUGACAUGUCUAACACGAUCGCGGCCCCCAUUCAGGUUUUCCCCAGAUGUGCUUUUUCCUCAAAUAUGAGUUUUUGCCACUGGGGUUUUUGCCUCGCCCCAGAUCAUCG